CGCGGCCUAUCAGCUUGUUGGUGGGGUAACGGCCUACCAAGGCGAUUACGGGUAGCCGGCCUGAGAGGGCAACCGGCCACACUGGGACUGAGACACGGCCCAGACUCCUGCGGGAGGCAGCAGUGGGGAAUAUUGCGCAAUGGGCGAAAGCCUGACGCAGCGACGCCGCGUGGGGGAUGACGGCCUUCGGGUUGUAAACCUCUUUUACCACCAACGCAGGCCCGGAGUUCUCUUCGGGUUGACGGUAGGUGGGGAAUAAGGACCGGCUAACUACGUGCCAGCAGCCGCGGUAAUACGUAGGGUCCGAGCGUUGUCCGGAAUUAUUGGGCGUAAAGAGCUCGUAGGCGGCGUGUCGCGUCUGCUGUGAAAGACCGGGGCUUAACUCCGGUUCUGCAGUGGAUACGGGCAUGCUAGAGGUAGGUAGGGGAGACUGGAAUUCCUGGUGUAGCGGUGAAAUGCGCAGAUAUCAGGAGGAACACCGGUGGCGAAGGCGGGUCUCUGGGCCUUACCUGACGCUGAGGAGCGAAAGCAUGGGGAGCGAACAGGAUUAGAUACCCUGGUAGUCCAUGCCGUAAACGUUGGGCGCUAGGUGUGGGGACUUUCCACGGUUUCCGCGCCGUAGCUAACGCAUUAAGCGCCCCGCCUGGGGAGUACGG
rnacentral:rRNA from 1 species